CUGGGGAAGCAAAAAACAGAAAUUUGGUCUCUGGUAGUGGGUCCACUUCCACCCCAUUUCAGACUCUACAGACCAAGCUUGCCUGCAGCCUGUACCUCCAAAAUGUGGAGGUGGGGAGGUCUAAGAAAGAGGGGGAUCACUUGCAAAUAUAAGGAAAUCAGACGCACCCGGUGCUACAGAAAUGGGCCAGGAGAAAACUCAGCAUUUUGACUGGGAUUUUGUUCCAACCAAGCAACUCUCUUCUACUUUCGUUGUGUACGGUUGGCACCAGGUGGAGGACAAUCAUUGGCACAGUGCUCUUGGCUCCUCUCCAUCCUCUCACUCCCUCCGCACUGACUGGUGAGAUGAAAACCAAAGGAAGAGGGACAAGAAAUUAAGACGUGUUUAUCUUAAGACGAGAGAGACAAAGUCAGAUCUCUUGAAGACAACCAUAUCUGCUUAAUGCCAUAUGCAAUAGAAAACUCUUCAAAGAACUACAGGGGGCCGGGCGCAGUGACUUAUGCCUGCAAUCCCAGCACUUUGGGAGGCUGAGGUGGGCAGAUCACUUGAGAUCAGGAGCUCAAGACCAGCCUGACCAACAUGGUGAAAUCUGUCUCUACUAAAAUACAAGAAUUAGCUGGGUGUGGUGGCUCACGCCUGUAAUCCCAGCUACUCGGGAGGCUGAGGCAGGAGAAUCGCUUGAACCUGGGAGGCAGAGGUUGCAGUGAGCCAAGAUCACACCACUGCACUCCAGUCUGGGGGACAGAGCAAGACUCUGUCUCAAAAAAUAAAUAAAUAAAUAAAUAAAAGAAAUAUAGGGGAACAACCCAGCAUCAGCCCACAUGAAACUAUUAGGUUAGCUGCUAUAACAAAUAAACCACCAAGUUUUAACAGCUUAACACCUUAAGAACUGAGCUAUCUACGUAACAGUCCAAAGCUGUUAUUUCUGAUUGGUGGGUAGUUUUGCCCAUAUGGUGAUUAAGGGACCUGUUCCCUCCACCCGUGGCUCACCAGCCCCUAGACCUCAAAGGUUUCCGCAUUCACUGGCAGACAGGAAAUGACAAUAGAAGAAGCCCAGCCUGUAUCUUAAAAGCCCUGACCCAGAAGUUAGUGGCAUUCCAUCUGGUCUCAUUCAGUUGGUGAGAAGAGUCUUAUGGCUACCCCUAGAGAGAAAAUAGAAGAUAAAGUCCCUGACUGGACAUCUCCUCCCAGCAACAACUCCACACUAUGCAAAGCAGAAUACAAACUUUCAGUGGAUUGACAUUCAUCUCUACCAAAGAGCUCUUUUCUAAUUCACAUGAAGGUGAUUUCCUCCUUGCUAAAGCCCUGGAAAUCUAAAUUGGAAAGAAAGUUAGAAAUCUACUGUGACAUGCUACAAAUGCAGAUGUGCCACAAACACCACAGAAUGGUCAUCCAGCCAGUGCCAGAUCAUCAUGAGAAAGUUUUGUUAGAAAAGUUUUCCUUUCAUAGUCCCAGGUGAGCCAUCUGUUGCAACCCAGGGUAAGUAUACGCAUGUACCUCAUCAGACCUCAGUCCAAAUAAAUGUAGCUGUCUGUAGUCCUCCUUUUUCCCCACUAAAUGCUCAUAGUUGUUCAAAUGUUCUUCAUAUACUAUGGUUUUCAGACUCUCCACCAUCAUGUCUUCUCUCCACUGCAAAGUGCAUCAUUUGUCAUGGUUCCCGAAGGAUUAAGACCCCUGCCAAAUGAAUACAAUACUCCAGACGCAUGACUGGAUAUCCCAUUUGGUGUCAUCUUUUCUAAGUUACACUAAUGGGGCUCACAGCUUUUCCUUCACCUUUGUUUUCUCCUUUUUCCUAGAUUUUAAUUUCUUUAUUCACACUUUCCAAACCAACUGAUAUCUUUAGCCUUAAUCUGUCUGCUCUCAUUGUUAUUUAAAUUCCUGCCAGUCACUUUCUGGCCCAUCACCAAAUUAACAUUCUUGCAAGGGCUGUUCAGAAAGUAAAUUUACAAGGUGUUUUUAGAAAACUGAUUUUAAGAGAUGGCAAGUAAUCCCUAUAAGUAUUUAAACAGCAGCUGAUUGCUAUGUUUCCACAUAAUCCAACAGAUUCACACAUUUUUUAGACCACAGGGCCAGCUUUUUAUGCCAGCUGAGUAAAAGUUGCAGGGUCUUUGGUUAUUAAAUCAACUUAAUAUCAUAUCAGUGAACACACGCUUUAUUGAGUCUCGGGGUUGUUGCAAAUAAUGUCUCCAAGAGACAGAAUGAGUUUUGCUUGAAACUGGGGCACUGAUACUUUCCCACUUCGAGUAUUGAUUUGUUUAGUGAUUUGUCCUCUGUGUGGUUCCAGGUCCUUAGGUUACAUCUCCUUAUUCACUGCUAUUCUACUUUCUCCCCAGAACUGGACGUGUCAUUCUAAUACAUUUUCAAUUAAAAAUGUCUUUGACAUAAAUUUAAACAAGUUAACUGUGAAAUUCUGCAGCAGACUCUACUUUUUUUCAUUUAAAAAAUGGAAACACAUGUUAUAAAAGAACAUUUAAUGACAUGGAAAAAUAUUCAAGAUAUAUUGGUAAAGGAAAAAAGCAGAUUUCUAAAGCACAAACACAAGAUGAAUCCAUAUUCGAAAAAUAGAAUACAGUAUGUGUGCACAUGUGCACAUAUAUGCUUGUAUAGGAAAAUCUGAGAAAGAUUUUCUUCAGGUUAUCAGGUCCUCUCUUUUACAUUUUCUAAAGAUCACUUUCGUCCUUCUUCUUUCUCAGCUAUAUUUUCUACAUUUUCUGUAAUGAACACUACAACUUUAAUAAAAACAAAACUUAAUGUUACUUAUCUUUAAUGUAAUAAAAAUGGAAGCAUAACUCUAAACAAUUAAACAUGAUACCACAUGUCCAGAAAAAGUCCUCUUUGUUUUGAGACAGAGGCUCAGUCUUCUUUUUUUUUUUUUUUUUGAGACAGAGUCUCGCUCUGUCACCCAGGCUGGAGUGCAGUGGUGCAAUCUCCGCUCACUACAAGCUCCGCCUCCCGGGUUCACACCAUUCUACUGCCUCAGCCUCCUGAGUAGAUGGGACUACAGGCACCCACUACCAUGCCUGGCUAAUGUUUUGUAUUUUUAGUACAGACAGGGUUUCACUGUGUUAGCGAGGAUGGUCUCGAUCUCCUGACCUCGUGAUCUGCCGGCCUUGGCCUCUGAAAGUGCUGGGAUUACAGGUUUGAGCCACCGCGCCUGGCCCUCACACUUCUUGCUCUGUCACCCAGGCUGGAGUGCAGUGGCACCAUCUCAGCUCACUGUAACCUCUGCUUCCUGGGUUCAAGUGAUUCUCCUUCCUCAGCCUCCAAAAUAGCUGGGACUACAGGCACACACCACUAUGCCUGGCUAAUUUUUUGUACUUUUAGUAGAGAUGGGUUUCACCAUGUUGGCCAGGCUGGUCUCAAACUCCUGACCUCAGGUAAUCCACCUGCCUCAGCCUCUCAAAAUGCUGGGAUUAUAGGCAUGAGCCACCAUGUCCAGCGAAAAAUUCCGUUUCUAUAGUCACGAUCCACAGUACUUUCUCUGUGCCUUUAGUGCCUAAAGAAACAUUGUUAUGGACUAAAUGUUUGUCUCCUCCCAAAGAUCCAACCCCCAGUGUGACUGUAUUUGGAGACAGAGCCUUUAUGAAGGUAAUUAAAGUUAAAAGAGGUCACGGGGUGGAGCCCUGAUCCAAUAGAUUUAGCGUCCUUGUAAGAAGAGACACGAAAGAGCAAGCUCUCUCUCCAUCUUGUGAGGACACAGUGAGAAGGUGGCCAUCUGCAAACCAGAAAGUAAGUGCUCCCUCACCAGGAACUGAACUGGCCUACACCUUGAUCUUGGACUUCCCAGCCUCCAGAACUGUGAGGAAAUACAUUUCGGUUGGUAAAUUUUUAUGGUAUUUUGUAAUAGCAGCCUGAUCUGACUAAUACAAACAUCAUGGCCCAACAAAAUUGUCUUUAUUACUGUGCAUUGGUAAUUAACCUCAUCGUUGAGCUUUUGAGCAAUUGCACCAUUGAUACCCCUGUUCACUGUUAUCAAGAUGUGGAAGAAGAGACAGUGCUUUUUCACUGACUUCCAAAUGUUCCAGAGCUACUUUUCCUUCUAGGCAUUUUUUAUUCUUCUCUACACCCUGCUGAUGACACUGCCUGUUCAUCUUUGGGGCCAAAGUGGUUCACACACACUCAGUCAAGAAUGCAGUAUGCACUUAGUAAAUAUGGACAGAGCUAAUGACACACACGUGGUGGGGAUGGCAGGGAAAUUUUUUGGUGCAUAAUUGACAUAGAGUCAGAAGUCAGAAAGGCAGAUGGAAAUAAAGAAAGGAGUGUGGAAGGGACUUGAUGAGAACAUCUUAAUCUAUGAAACCCAAAGAUAUUUGCUGUAGGCCUAGAAUGUAAAUUCAAAUUAAAUCAAGCACAACAACUCAAAGCAAAAACUCCUCAUAAACAAUCUCCCACUGACUUCAAAGGUAGAUUUGGGCCACAGGGCAGAGAGGAAAAGAGGUUAUGGAAUGUACCAGAAGCUUUGCAUUUGUCUACUGCAGAGUAGAAUUAAACCCUGGAGGUUACUGACAUCCCCCUGGGUCUUCGUGAUCCCAUAGGACAGGUUGGACAGUCCUCCACUGUCCAAAUGUUAGCGUCCCUCUGAAUGCUCAUUUUAAUUGGAAUCUCUGGGUACAUGCGCUCCUCUAGUUCAAGGGCUCUGGGUGCAUAAGUGGAAACAAAGCUUGCUACAGAACGUACCUCCCUCCCUCUUGGUUCAGGAACAUAUUUCAAAAUGCCACUUUAUUAGCAGCUAAACAAAAACACCUCUUCGACAGGGAUGAGGGAGCGUGGAGUAAACAUGUCAUCCCUACCUAUUGUUCUGCAGAGUCGAAAUUCUCCUAAGAUUGAUUAUAAAAGGCAGUUAUAGAGGAAACUGUUUGAGUCUGCUGAAUUAAAAACAAACAGUGAGGCAUUCAACGACGAACAGAUCUGAUGGAUUAAAAUGCACCGAAGAAAGACAUCUCAAGCGAUGCCUGAAUAGGCCAAGUCAGAAUGAGAGGAAAUUUGGCCUGCAAUUUCCAAUCAAGGGAAAACUGGCAAAGCAACAGAAUUUGAGGCUUCCUCAGAUUUACACUUUAUCUGCUAAUUAGCAUUAACAUGCGUGGUAGAGGUAUCUCACCAGCUUGUGGCACAAUAAAAAACGGAAUGUGUUAUCACCACAGAAUGUGUAAUUACUUUAAGCACUGGCUGAAAAUUGCAGGGUACUUCAUUUCAGAAUUUGUAUAUAUUUAUUGUUAGAGAUAAACUUGUUGAAGUAUAUCUAAUCUAAUUUUAUGUUAUAAUUCCUGUUUAAGAUAAUUUUAGUGUCAGCAAGCCAAGAACUGAAGUAAAUACUGCCGUAAAUUGUAAUACAUUAAAAUACCAGAGAAAUACUUCCAUUCAGCCGUGACUUGAUUUGCUUAUUGUUUAAGGACAAAAAAUAAAAAAUUCUCAGAUUACAUCAACAUUGGAAAUAUAUACUGUUGGGUUGCCCCUACCAUGCAGGCCAUGCAGCUGAUGAAGUUUGCUAACCUUGACUCGCCCAGUUCCCUGGAAGUGUGAAUCACUUUUAAAAGAAUUGUAGAUUUCCGUUUCCCUUAGGUAAGAUUUAUUAUUUUUGUAAAAAUCUCCUUAAAUUGCUCUGUAUGUUCCCACAAGGGAAAUGCAUUAGGACAGAUUAUUUGGCUUUAAAUCAUAACUAGGUUAAUAUUUGUUGUGAGUUUGAUUUAAGACCUUGUUUAAAUUCCUCCUUAAAUUGUUAAGCAAGACAAUUUGGGGCUAUGAAAAGGAAACUAUACUGUGUUUUUCAGUAAUAUGAUAUUAUGGCACAGACUACCAAAUCAUGCAAAAGCAAUUUCUGAUUUUUCUACUAAUAGGGGAUUAUAGCUAAAGCAUUGUCGGCAUACAGACUGUGUAUUCUUUUAGCAACCUUCUAUCAAGCCUGCAAAACUUGGAAAAAUGUGGAGAUAAUGCUGCCUCCGAGGAGGGAAUGCUGGAUCUAACACUAUUUUUGUUUGUUGUCUGUCUACUGUUCCUCUGAGGAAGGCAUGAAAUUAAGGAUCCCAUUGGAUAGAUCUUAUUAUGAUUCAUCUGGAAAGAGCCCUAGGAUUUUAAUGUCUGCCCGUUGCCCUCCCUGUUGUGUGAAAAAUGGUGGGAGCUAAUGAGCCCUUGAAUGACUCUGGCCAUCUCAGAACACUGAUGUAUUGGUUGUCUAAGAGCCUUCUUCCUACGUGUAGCAAUAAUGAAGCUACAUAAAUGGAAAGUCCUGAAACUUCGAAAUUCUUUUUCUGGAGAAGUAGCUUCACACAGCACAUUUAAAGCACAACUGAAUUUUUCUUUUCAUGGCUGCUUUUUUAACAUGGAAAAUUUAUAUUUUCUGUAAUACUGAUUCCUAAUUAAUAUCUUAGCACCAAGUUCAGCAUAUUAAAGGCAGGACUGGUAUAUAAACAAAACCUGAGUGGCUCUGUGAUAGAAUAGGAGUGAGCAGACUUGAGAUCUUCCCUAGAGCUGAGGGAAACCAGGAAGGGGCAACGGUAGCAGCAAUUCAUGUGGUUUACUCUAGUGGCCAAAAGCAUUGAAAAGGUGUUAGCCCUGCUGCUCUGGCUAGACGCCAGUGAAGUAUUUAUAAGAUGCUGCCUCUGAUUCCUUCUAUGACUGUAAAAGUUUGGGGGAGAAGGGGACCUUUCUUUCCAGGCCUCAUUCCUUGCCUCUUGAGCAGUGCUGUGAUGUGUCCGGGGAAGCAGCUAUCCUUAUUUCACCUCUGAAGCUGUUUCACCUCAAAGAGGCUAUGAUUUCCCCUAAUGCAAUAGCUGGCCAUUCUCUUGCUGAAUGUGGAAAGUACUUUGGAAUCCUAUGGCAAGAAAGCAACUAAAGACAAUUUGAAGUCACAACUGUCCACAUCAUGUGAAAAUCAACACUCUUUUCCAAACCAGCAGCUAGAACAAGAAGUUGACUUGAGGAUGUUGACUCAAUACUGAUGGGUAAUUUUAGGACCUUUUCUAGGGAUACCUCCUGUCUUAGUCCAUUCAAGCUGCUAGGACAAAAUACUAUAGACUGGUGACUUAUAAAUAACAAACAGUUAUUGCUGAGUUCUGCAGUCUGGGUAGUCUAAGAUCAAGGUUCUAGUAGACCCAGAGUCUGGUGAGGUCUUACUUUCUUGUUCAUAGAUGGUUCUAUGUCUUCUCACUGUAUCCUCACAUGGUAGAAGGGGUGAGAGAGCUUACUGAGGUCUCUUUUAUAAGGGCAUUAAUCUCAUUCAUGAGGGCUACAUUCUCAUAACCUAAUCACCUCGCCAGAGCCCCACCUCCUAAUACCGUCACAGUAAUGAUUAAGUUUCAACAUAUGAAUUUUGUGGGGACACAAACAUUCCAUCUAUAGUACCUUCACAUGCAAACUAUUUCCAAAAUAAGACUUUCUGUGUGUGCAUGGGGACUUACCACAGUUCAUAAGAAGCAGUAUGAGCUGUUGGGCAUAAACAGAGCUUUCUUU
rnacentral:lncRNA from 10 species